AGCUUUCACUAUCCGAAAGGAGUUUCUUCGGUGUAUCCAAUGCCGCUGUCUUGAAGAAAACCCUAAACAUUCGCCCUUUGCCUAAAUUAAACCAAACAUAAAGUAAUCCUUCGAUUACUUCGGCUUUGAGGAUCUAAUUCAUCUGAAUCUAUAUUUUUCAUCUCGAUAUUUAUCCUUCGAAACCGAGUACUGAAAUAAUCUUCUGGGUGUUUUAUCGUAGCUGAAAUUAUUUGAUUGCCUGAAAUGAGUGAUAAAAAUUCACCUCUCGGGUCACCCAAACAAAACCCAGAUCAGAAUUUGGAGACUAACCCAUUGCCCAAAGAUGAUAGCUCACUGGAAACCAUUGUUCGAAAGAUUCAGGAUUCCAUGACUUUAUCCAAGAAACACAAGUUCUGGGAAACUCAGCCUGUUGGACAAUUUAAAGAUAUUGGGGACACGAGUUUACCUGAGGGACUGAUCGAGCCCCCUACUCCAUUGUUUGAAGUGAAGCAGGAACCUUAUAACCUUCCAAGUCCAUAUGAAUGGACCACCUGUGAUAUGGAUUCCGAAGAUACUUGUACUGAGGUUUAUAAUCUUUUGAAGAACAAUUAUGUAGAGGAUGAUGAGAAUAUGUUUAGGUUCAACUAUUCCAAGGAGUUUCUUAGUUGGGCAUUGCGGCCUCCUGGUUACUAUAAGAGCUGGCACAUUGGCGUUCGUGCCAAGGCUUCAAAGAAGCUUGUUGCUUUCAUUACUGGUAUACCUGCGAGAAUAAGGGUGCGGGAUGAAGUUGUGAGGAUGGCCGAGAUCAAUUUCCUGUGUGUUCAUAAGAAGCUGAGAUCAAAAAGACUUGCACCUGUGAUGAUUAAGGAGGUAACUAGGAGGGUUCAUUUGGAGAACAUUUGGCAGGCAGCUUAUACUGCCGGAGUUGUUCUUCCAACACCUAUUACUACUUGCCAGUACUGGCAUCGGUCGUUGAACCCCAAGAAGCUUAUUGAUGUUGGCUUUUCUAGGCUUGGGCCUAGGAUGACAAUGAGCCGAACCAUCAAACUCUAUAAGUUACCUGAUUCUCCAGCCACCCCCGGGUUCAGAAAGAUGGAGCUUCGUGAUGUCCCUGCUGUUACCAGGUUGCUUAGAAACUACUUGAGCCAGUUUGUUGUUUCUCCAGAUUUUGAUGAGAAUGAUGUGGAGCAUUGGCUGCUUCCUACUGAGGGGGUCGUGGACAGUUACUUGGUUGAGAGCCCAGAGACGAAUGACGUUACUGACUUCUGCAGCUUCUACACGCUUCCCUCUUCAAUUCUCGGCAACCAAAAUUAUUCAAUUUUGAAAGCUGCCUAUUCUUACUACAACGUCUCCACUAAGACUCCAUUGCUUCAGCUGAUGAAUGAUGCUCUUAUUGUUGCCAAGCAGAAGGAUUUUGAUGUUUUCAACGCUCUUGAUGUCAUGCGUAAUGAGUCUUUCCUCAAAGAACUGAAAUUUGGACCUGGUGAUGGGCAACUUCACUACUACCUCUAUAAUUAUCGGAUACGAAAUGCUUUGAGUCCAUCAGAACUUGGUCUUGUACUCUUAUAGUUUGACAUACAUCAGCUUUGUUCGUGCAGUUUUGUUUCUGAAUUAGUUGUGGAUUGCUUCGUAUUCAUUGUUCCUCUGUCGUCUGCAGCCAGGGCGAUUCGGUUAAGGCUUGCUGUGGAUGCAAGAGCAACCUCUGUUGUCUUUGUUAUGUAAAGCUCAUAAAGCAUCAAGAUGAGCAACGAAGCUUUUGAUGGGCAGAUACUAACUGAGAAACUGUCGAAACUAAACAAUUCGCAACAAAGCAUUGAAUGUAUCCUACAGUUUUAAGUUUAACUCGAGGUUUUUUUAUUAAGAAAAUAGUAAUGCUAGAAUAGUCUUUCACUUCCAUUAGUGCUAUCUAAUUACAAUGACACUCCUGAUUAUUGAAAUUUGGUGUAAUUCUAAAGUUAAUAAUUGAAGAACAAGAAUCUUUUGUUCA